rnacentral:tRNA from 2 species
GCCCAGGUAGCUCAGUCGGUAGAGCAGAGGAUUGAAAAUCCUCGUGUCGGCAGUUCGAUUCUGUCCCUGGGCA